AGGAUGAUUGUUUUUCUUUGUGGUUCCUUUCUUUUCUUUUCCUCCUCUUUUGGGUGUGGUCCUGGGGGUUGAACCCAGGGCCUCAGACAUCCCAGGCAAGCCCUCUACCUCUGAGCUGUGCUCCCAGCCCCUUCCUGGGGACUUGCAUGGGACACUCUUCAAAGGUGUCCCUUUAUGCUCCCUCUGGUGGCUCUGGGGCUUUCUGGGCCACAUCCCCUCUCCCUGGUCUUCCACCUACAUGGGAAUCCCGUUAUUCUUCUAAACUAGGAGGGAUGGAGAGAACCAGCUCUGGGCUUCAGUGCUCUUGGUCUGGAGGCCCUUGGAACUCAGGCCGGUUUGAACCCAGGGGCACUCAAUCACUGAGCCCCAUCCCAACCCUUUCUUAUAUUUUAUUUAGAGACAGGGUCUCGCUGAGUUGCUUAGGCCCUCGCCAAGUUGCUGAGGCUGGCCUUGAACUGGUGAUCCUCCUGCCUCAGCCUCCUGAGCCUCUGGGAUUACAGGCGUGUGCUACUGGCCCUGGCUGGACCAACCUGCUUGAGUCUUGGGGCAGUUUCUGGUUCUUGUCAAGGACCCGCCGUGGAUCGCAGUGCAUUAAACACAGCUCAAUCCAGGACUUCGUAGUGCUGCUGAAAAGAACAAUUGAUGGCCCCGAGAGCGCCAAGCAGCAUACACGUGACUCCGAAAACUAACAAAAGGAAGCAUUUAGGGAGAUCUAGAUGCCAGAAUCUACUCUGGAAGUCUCAGAAUGGAGACUGGAACCAGUCGACUGGCCUUGUGAGUAGCCUGGAGGUGGGACUUAUGGUGACACCUGGCUUCUCCGUGGUUUGGACAUAAGGAGGAGUUGGAACUUUGGGAAACUUUCAGUUCUGAUCAUCUGUGGAGACCAGAAAUGGGUGAGUGUUACACCAAUCCAGGUGGCCAAGGGUGAGGCUCCCGAUGAAAUGGGUGAGAUUAGAGUGUGAUUGGUCUCCCCCUGUUGCCACUAGUGCCCUUUUUCCUGGAAACUUAACUUUUAUAAUGCUUUUCUGCAAUGGGGUAUAGGCCAUCUUUUUUUUUUUUUAAUUUAAGUUGUAGAUGUACACAUACCUUCAUUUUAUUUAUUUAUUUUUUUAUGUGGUGCUGAGGAUAGAACCCAGUACCCCACAAGUGGAAGGCAAGCGCUCUGCCAACGAGCCACAAGCCCAGCCCCAAGACCAUCUUAACCAUACCUUUGUGGCACACCAAGUGGUAGCAGUACAGAAAACAGAAAUGGGGGAUGUUCUAUGUUGAAUGACUUAUCAGUUACUUUGGGGCCCAUGCAAGCUCCAUUUCCACCCCAUCCUCAUCCCUUUAGCCCUUGGUGGGGUUGUGUUUGCCUCUAGGACCACAGGCCUCCACCUUAUCACAUGAGCAUAGCCAAUGGAAUCAGGUCGCCAGGUUAUGGAGUUAUCCCCUUGCAAAGUACAAAAAUGGAAUGAGUCGGGUGAGCCAUAAACCUUGGUGGGA